rnacentral:rRNA from 1 species
UACGUAGGGUGCGAGCGUUAAUCGGAAUUACUGGGCGUAAAGCGUGCGCAGGCGGUCUGUUAAGACCGAUGUGAAAUCCCCGGGCUCAACCUGGGAACUGCAUCUGUGACUGCAUCGCUGGAGUGCGGCAGAGGGGGAUGGAAUUCCGCGUGUAGCAGUGAGAUGCGUAGAUAUGCGGAGGAACACCGAUGGCGAAGGCAAUCCCCUGGGCCUGCACUGACGCUCAUGCACGAAAGCGUGGGGAGCAAACAGG